AUAAAUAACUAACUUAGACAUAUUAUGGUUCAGUUUUAUUUUACUAUUUGGAUAUCUGAGUUUUCAGUUUGUUUUGGAAUGUAAUAAAGGAAUUUGUGUUUUCUUGAAAUGGAAAUGGUUUUCUACCCCUCGUGGUAGCGUUUUGAAAAGUUAAAAGUUCCUGUGUAGGGAACAGUUUUCAAAAGAUUUUCUGUGGAUUUUGUAUCUUAGUAUUUCAAAACCUGUUUCUGUGGUUGCAAACAUUUUAACUGAUAGAUGUGGAUUUAUAUUUAAAUAGCGAAUGUAAAUUUGUGAAUCUGUGGUGAAUGGUGUAUGAAUGUAUAUCUGUGGUUGUUUGUAUAUUCAUCUGGUUGUGGUUGUUGUAUGAUUGAACUCUUGUACUUGUGCGACGCCGUGCAAAUACAGGGGAGACUCUGUCCGUGUGAACAGUGGAACUCCUAUGUUUGUGGCGGAUCUGGCACACUCUGGUGUCAGAUUU
rnacentral:lncRNA from 1 species